CCUACGGGUGGCAGCAGUGGGGAAUCUUGCGCAAUGCGCGAAAGCGUGACGCAGCAACGCCGCGUGGGGGAAGAAGGCCUUCGGGUUGUAAACCCCUUUCAGUUGGGACGAAGCUUCGGCGGUGAAUAGCCGUUCGGAGUGACGGUACCUUCACAAGAAGCCCCGGCUAACUACGUGCCAGCAGCCGCGGUAAUACGUAGGGGGCUAGCGUUGUCCGGAAUCAUUGGGCGUAAAGAGCGUGUAGGCGGCCCGGUAAGUCCGCUGUGAAAGUCGGGGGCUCAACCCUCGAAAGCCGGUGGAUACUGUCGGGCUAGAGUGCGGAAGAGGCGAGUGGAAUUCCUGGUGUAGCGGUGAAAUGCGCAGAUAUCAGGAGGAACACCGAUUGCGAAGGCAGCUCGCUGGGACGUAACUGACGCUGAGACGCGAAAGCGUGGGGAGCA
rnacentral:rRNA from 1 species